AAAGUGAGAACAUUUGCACGCUGACCUGAACAAAUGUGUAGAAAAUGCCUUGCGUUGAGAGGUAUUACGGAUAAGUUUGGUUUGUGAAAUGUCAGUGUGGGUGGAUGUGAGAUGAUUGAAAGGAGUUCAAUAUUGACAAAAAACUAGGAAGACCGUCAGCAAUCUAAGACAGCACCUACCCCUAGAAGACACACCUUUGUGAAGCCUGCAUGAAAUAAACAACAGCGAUAUCAUCAUCAGUAAGGAGAAAGCUUCUCCUGAAAAGGCCCUGGAGAAUGCUGCUGUGGAUGGCAACGAGUGUGACUCAUCUGGCUAUAGAGCUGGAAGUGUAAUAUUAAAGAAAAUAAAUAACAAGACUGAAAAGAGCAUUAAAUGAGGAAAUGAGGCAUGAAUGCGUGAGACAGAGGUUAUUCUACUACAUGCAAGUAGAUACCACCUAAUUACUUGGGAAGUAGCAGUUAGUAAGUACAAGAUCAUGAAUGAAUUAGAA